rnacentral:piRNA from 1 species
CGUUACCGUAGAACAGCAAAGAGAGG